AAUGAACGCUGGCGGCAGGCCUAACACAUGCAAGUCGAACGGAUCCUUCGGGAUUAGUGGCGGACGGGUGAGUAACGCGUGGGACCAUACCCUUUGGUACGGAAUAGCCUCGGGAAACUGGGAGUAAUACCGUAUGUGGUCGAGAGACGAAAGAUUUAUCGCCAAGGGAUUGGCCCGCGUUGGAUUAGGUAGUUGGUGGGGUAAUGGCCUACCAAGCCGACGAUCCAUAGCUGGUUUGAGAGGAUGAUCGGCCACACUGGGACUGAGACACGGCCCAGACUCCUACGGGAGGCAGCAGUGGGGAAUCUUAGACAAUGGGGGAAACCCUGAUCUAGCCAUGCCGCGUGAUCGAUGAAGGCCUUAGGGUUGUAAAGAUCUUUCAGGUGGGAAGAUAAUGACUGUACCACCAGAAGAAGCCCCGGCUAACUCCGUGCCAGCCGCCGCCGUAACAC
rnacentral:rRNA from 1 species